rnacentral:SRP_RNA from 1 species
GGAGACUGGCGGCGGACGGGCCGCCGGGUAACCCGGUCAGGUCCGGAAGGAAGCAGCCGCAACGAUCUCCGCCUGGGUCGCUGUCCGGUCUCUCAC